rnacentral:lncRNA from 1 species
AUCUUGGGUGUCAGGAAUACCAUGGGCUCUGACAAUACAUGGUUGUUUAGGUAUUUAUGUACUCACCUUAUGGCUUUCAGUAUAUGAUCCUUCAUAUCUGUCAGCCUUUCAAAUCUCCCUGAAAAAUUACAGCUUUAGCUCCCUUCUUAUUUUCUCUCCCUUGAGCAUUUAACUUGUAACACCUGUGUAUGAGGUCUGUCCUUCCUGGUUGGUCUUAGCUCAUUCAGGCCUCUUGCAACUCUUCAAUAAAAUCAUAGUGAUGUUACUGAAGUUAGUCUGCAGCAUAACUCAUGAAUCAGAAGAGAGGUACAGGCUGUUAAAGGAAGAGGAGGAUUCUGCUAAUAUGAACACAUGUUUAGGGAAGUGAGAAGAAAAGUUGGUUCCAACAUGCCAUCUGUAUUCCAGCCAUCGUUUCAAUACAAAAUGCUGAAAUUCUGAAGAUGGGACAAAGCACUAUGAAAUAUACUGCAGGGAAACCACCUAUGCUUUUCUAUGGCUGGAAGCGAAGAAGAAAAGCCUGAUGACACAAAAGAUGGAUAUUUGUCCCAGGACUGUUAAUUCCAAGAGUGCUAUGAUGAGGGAAACAUAUACUUCUCUUAAUUUCACUAUAAUAAGGACCUACAUGAUUUCAGACCAUCUCCAUAUGCCUCAAGCUUGAUCCUUGUACUGUUCCGUUAUUUAUUUUUUUUUUACCUUCAGAGUGCCAAAUUAAAAUAAUUUCUUCAGUCUUGUACUUUAACA